UACGUAGGUGACAAGCGUUGUCCGGAUUACUGGGCGUAAAGAGCGCGCAGGCGGUCGUUCAAGUCGAGUGUGAAAGCCCCCGGCUCAACUGGGGAGGGUCACUCGAUACUGAUCGACUCGAAGGCAGGAGAGGGAAGUGGAAUUCCCGGUGUAGUGGGUGAAAUGCGUAGAUAUCGGGAGGAACACCAGUGGCGAAGGCGACUUCCUGGCCUGUUCUUGACGCUGAGGCGCGAAAGCUAGGGGAGCGAACGGG
rnacentral:rRNA from 1 species